CAAACAGCCGAUACAAACAGGCAGAACAGAUCUGAAAGGCGAGACAAGUUCUUGAAAGGAAUAUGUGAAAGAGGAAGAAUUGGGAAGACUGGGGUGCGAGGAUGAAGACAGAUGGAACGAAAACUAUACGGAAGAAUGAAUGCUUUAUCCAGAUCGUGCUGAUAUUAGUUGCAGUAUUUCUCUCCUGAGUUCUGUUUUGGCUUCUUGAAGUAACAUAAUAUUUUUUAAUUGAUCCAAACAAAAAUAUAUGAAAGAUCCAGCAUGUUAACUGAGCUAAACAUCUUUCAGUUGAUUAAAGACUAUUUUUUAUAAAUGUUCUUUAAGUGUCAUAGAUGUAUAUGUGUGCAUAUGAAGAAAAUAUAUUUAAUCCAAUCUUAAAAAACUCUUCUGAGCUGCAUUCUGGUUCUCUAAGAAACUUGUUAAAUUACACUUUUUUCCAGCCCUGGCAGAGGAAUA